rnacentral:rRNA from 1 species
GACGAACGCUGGCGGCGCGCCUAACACAUGCAAGUCGAACGAGCGAGAGAGAGCUUGCUUUCUCGAGCGAGUGGCGAACGGGUGAGUAACGCGUGAGGAACCUGCCUCAAAGAGGGGGACAACAGUUGGAAACGACUGCUAAUACCGCAUAAGCCCACAGGUCGGCAUCGACCAGAGGGAAAAGGAGCAAUCCGCUUUGAGAUGGCCUCGCGUCCGAUUAGCUAGUUGGUGAGGUAAUGGCCCACCAAGGCGACGAUCGGUAGCCGGACUGAGAGGUUGAACGGCCACAUUGGGACUGAGACACGGCCCAGACUCCUACGGGAGGCAGCAGUGGGGAAUAUUGCACAAUGGGGGAAACCCUGAUGCAGCGACGCCGCGUGGAGGAAGAAGGUCUUCGGAUUGUAAACUCCUGUUGUUGAGGAAGAUAAUGACGGUACUCAACAAGGAAGUGACGGCUA